UACAGAGGUGGCAAGCGUUGUUCGGAAUUACUGGGCGUAAAGGGCGCGUAGGCGGCCUUCUAAGUCAGACGUGAAAUCCCCAGGCUUAACUUGGGAACUGCGUCUGAUACUGGGAGGCUUGAGUGCGGGAGAGGGAUGUGGAAUUCCAGGUGUAGCGGUGAAAUGCGUAGAUAUCGGGAGGAACAUCUGUGGCGAAGGCGACACCCUGGACCAGCACUGACACUGAGGCACGAAAGCGUGGGGAGCAAACAGG
rnacentral:rRNA from 1 species